GCGAAUUUUGAACUUGAGCUUCAGGUUGAUUAAUUAAAUUAAGCAUUACUGAGCUUAAACACCUGAUCCUUAGCUCAGCUCUCAUUGUUUACAUUAUACGCAGUUCAUAAUUUCAUUGCAUUACAAUAAAUAUUGAAAAGAAAUAAACUUUCAUUUCCGAAGAAAAAGGAAAGAAAACAUGAAAUUUAUUCUUCAUUCCUGUU
rnacentral:misc_RNA from 1 species